GACGAACGCUGGCGGCGUGCUUAACACAUGCAAGUCGAACGGAAAGGCCCUGCUUUUGUGGGGUGCUCGAGUGGCGAAAGGGUGAGUAACACGUGAGUAACCUGCCCUUGACUUUGGGAUAACUUCAGGAAACUGGGGCUAAUACCGGAUAGGAGCUCCUGCUGCAUGGUGGGGGUUGGAAAGUUUCGGCGGUUGGGGAUGGACUCGCGGCUUAUCAGCUUGUUGGUGGGGUAGUGGCUUACCAAGGCUUUGACGGGUAGCCCGCCUGAGAGGGUGACCGGCCACUGGGACUGAGAUACGGCCCAGACGCCUACGGGAGGCAGCAGUGGGGAAUAUUGCACAAUGGGCGGAAGCCUGAUGCAGCAACGCCGCGUGCGGGAUGACGGCCUUCGGGUUGUAAACCGCUUUCGCCUGUGACGAAGCGUGAGUGACGGUAAUGGGUAAAGAAGCACCGGCUAACUACGUG
rnacentral:rRNA from 1 species